AGCUUUGCGCCGUGGCGGCCUCAUAGCCAAUGAGGUUUAUCUGAGGCGUGAUUAUUGCUAAUGGAAUUUGCAGAGCCAUUUCAAAUCGACCCAUCAUCUCAGAAGUGGUUCCAGAAUGUUCCCCUUCACCCGCUGGCUGCCACCAUGGUCCGGAGCCUCCCUGACUCUCAUCUGGGCUUUUGAAACAAAUGCAUUU
rnacentral:snRNA from 1 species